UAUUUUAAAGAGAGUUUGAUCCUGGCUCAGGACGAACGCUGGCGGCGUGCCUAAUACAUGCAAGUCGAACGAACGGAGGAAGAGCUUGCUCUUCCAAAGUUAGUGGCGGACGGGUGAGUAACACGUGGGCAACCUGCCUGUAAGUUGGGGAUAACUCCGGGAAACCGGGGCUAAUACCGAAUGAUAAAGUGUGGCGCAUGCCACGCUUUUGAAAGAUGGUUUCGGCUAUCGCUUACAGAUGGGCCCGCGGUGCA
rnacentral:rRNA from 1 species